UACGGAAGGUGCGAGCGUUGUUCGGAAUGACUGGGCGUAAAGCGCACGUAGGCGGUUUUGUAAGUCGAAUGUGAAAUCCCUGGGCUCAACCCGGGAACUGCAUCCGAAACUACUAAACUUGAAUGCUUAAGAGGUUGGUGGAAUUCCUGGUGUAGGAGUGAAAUCCGUAGAUAUCAGGAGGAACAUCGGAGGCGAAGGCGGCCAACUGGUGAUGCAUUGACGCUGAGGUGCGAAAGCGUGGGGAGCAAACAGG
rnacentral:rRNA from 1 species